GUGCUUGCUUUGGCAACACAUAUACUAAAAUUGGAAACAAGACAAGAGAUUAGCAUGGCCCCUGAGCAAGGAUGACACACAAAUUUAUGAAGCAUUCCACAUUUUU
ensembl:snRNA U6 U6 spliceosomal RNA